GUGGUGGAGGACGCGGGCCCGGCUGCCAUCAUGUUGUUGAAUCAGAACACCUUGCUGCUGGGGAAGAAGGUGGUCCUGGUGCCCUACACCUCAGAGCAUGUGCCCAGAUACCACGAGUGGAUGAAAUCUGAGGAGCUGCAGCGGUUGACAGCCUCAGAGCCGCUGACCCUGGAGCAGGAGUACACAAUGCAGCGCAGCUGGCGGGAGGAUGCGGACAAGUGUACUUUCAUCUUGCUGGAUGCAGAGAAAUGGCAGGCUCAGCCGGGCACCACUGAAGAGAGCUGCAUGGCGGGUGAUGUGAACCUCUUCCUCACGGAUCCGGGGGACCCCACUGUGGGGGAGAUUGAGGUCAUGAUUGCAGGUCCGUUUCACCUAGCCCUGCCUCCCCUCCUUUCUGGCCCUCAGCACUGCUGGACCUUCAGCUUGCUGAGGCUUGUGGAGCACUCAGACCUCAGUGGAAGGCUCUGUAUGGAUAGCCUGGACCUGUUGGGGCAGGCUGCUCACCUGGAUCCCGCAUGGAUGAGCCUGGACCUGCCUGGGGCAGGCUGUUCACCUCGAUCACAUGUGGAUGAGCUUGGACCUCCCUGGGGCAGGCUGCUCACCCGGAUCCCACAUGGAUGAGCCUGGACCUGCCUGGGGCAGGCUGCUCGCCUGGAUCCUGCUAGCCUGGUGGCUCACCCCUGUGUUUGUCACUUUAUUCCCACCUUCAGCUUAGGUGUGGACUUAACCUUAGGGUUUUGGGCCUUCAACAUUCAGUCUGCCCAUCGGUGGUGGAGGUGGGGAGUACCCUCCAAAGAAAAAUGAUCUUCCCUGGAGCAUUUCCUGUGCUAUGGGAAGGGCCCCUUCAGCUUCUGCUUCCCUUUUCAUCCUCAGCCCUCCCCGCGGGCUACUGGCUGUUCUUGCUGAGGCAGCAGACUGAGGCUAAGGGAGUCAGCCUUGGAGUCAGACUACAGGGGUUCCAAGCUGUGAGCCUUUGGCUGAGUCAUUUAACUUCUCUGUGCCCAUUUUCUCUUCUGCUAAGCGGUAUUAACAGUACUAGUUUCUCAGAGUUGUGAGGGUUACAUGAGAUCCUAUAUGUCAGGUGCCUAAACCUGAGCCUGCGCCUGUAGUGUUGUUAUUGAUAGGUGCGUUUGAGUUGAUUUCGACUCACAGUGACCCCACGUGACAGGGUAGAACUGCCCUGUAGAGUUUCCUAGGCUGUAAUCUUUUUGGGAGCAGAUUGCCAGGUGUUUCUCCCGUGGAGCUAUUGGGUCGGUUUGAACUGCCAGCCUUUUGGUUAGCAGCCAAAUGUUUAACCAUUUGCACCACUGGGGCUACUUGGCCUGCAGUGUUAGCUGUUGUGUUGCCUUUUCUUCCAGAGCCCAGCUGCAGAGGCCGGGGGUUUGGCACUGAGGCCGUUCUCAUGAUGAUGUCUUACGGUGGCUGUGAGCAGUGUCUUUCAGGAGGCGACACUCAGACUGGCCGUGAGUGAGCCGGUACGGC